AUUGAACGCUGGCGGCAUGCUUUACACAUGCAAGUCGAACGGUAACAGGCCUUCGGGUGCUGACGAGUGGCGAACGGGUGAGUAAUGCAUCGGAACGUGCCCAAUCGUGGGGGAUAACGUAGCGAAAGUUACGCUAAUACCGCAUAAGCCCUGAGGGGGAAAGUGGGGGACCGCAAGGCCUCACGCGAAUGGAGCGGCCGAUGUCAGAUUAGCUAGUUGGUGGGGUAAAGGCCCACCAAGGCGACGAUCCGUAGCUGGUCUGAGAGGAUGAUCAGCCACACCGGAACUGAGACACGGUCCGGACUCCUACGGGAGGCAGCAGUGGGGAAUAUUGCGCAAUGGGCGAAAGCCUGACGCAGCCAUACCGCGUGUGUGAAGAAGGCCUCGGUUGUAAG
rnacentral:rRNA from 1 species